GCGGCUCGGAAAGGCAACCGAGAAUUUGCUCUAAAUUUCUGGGCUUAGUCCCAGUUCGUACGUUGACGGAAGCGGUAUUGUAACCAGGGCCCCCGGUAGCGUGUCCCAGACUUCUCUGCUGGAUAGUGGAAGAAGCUUUGACCCUGGGCAGGGUUGGGUUUGGUUAGGCCGGGUGUGGUGUGAGAGUGAGAUGCUGGCUUCCAUUGAGGGUGAUAAAAACUGGCAAGAACAGUAGAGGUACGACGACGGUUUGGGAAAGUUCAGGCAGUGUGCAUCCAGUCAGUGCUAUGGGAACAAGUCUCCGAAAAGUAGUGUCCUCAGUGUGUAAUCCGCCCACACUCCUGAAAUUCCGGCCUCAGUUCCAAUGAUAUUUUUUUUUUGUUCUUGGGGAUGAGAACUAAGUGCAUCCCGUCUCAGUCGUUUGUGGCAAGUGAAAAGUGGUGCAUGUGCAGAGAGAGUUUCCGAUUUACAUCCAUCAAAGCGAAGUGCAAUUUCAUCUCGGUAGAAGCCCUAAUUGCUGUACUCAUCACGUCCCGUGAGAUAAACAGUUGGUUGAUUCAAUUAUGUCAUCAACUCCCCCAUCAUUCGAUUUGCGUGCUCAGCUAAGGGAAUGAUGGAUGGAACUAGCCUGUCCUAUCAUAAUUAACGAGCGAGGGAAAAACGAGACGAGAUAAUUUAUUAACUGCCAAUUACGUACUCAGCAAAAAAAAGUCCACUAAUCUUCUCCAACCAAAUCACGCUCAUAUUUCGUGCUCCCCUCAACUCUGACGUCCUAAUUUUCCUUACUUCGCCCUUGAACGGUGGUGACGAAAACUCAAACAACGGCUAUUAAUAAACAUUCCAUUUGUGCGGAGAAAGUGAUUUCUGCCGGAAUUUUUCAUCGACGCAGGGAAGCAGCUGCUAUUUUUAGCAGAUGAUACUAUUUUUAGACUCCAAUUCAUUAACACCUACGCGAAACAAACACACCUCAGCCUCAACGAUUCGUUAACAGUUGAUUUCAUCAAAACAUUAUGAAUCUGAGCAGCGAAAAAAGAGAAAGUGAAAAUCGCUCACGGAAUCCGGCCUGGCGGUGAAAACGGAAGAGGGUGCAGUGUAAUUUUUAGGAGAAAACGUGACUAAUGCUCCAUAGCUGUUGUAAGAAACUAUAAGUAGACGCAUGCUCGACUGACUCAAUUGAGAUGGAACUUCUGGAUCAAAGGAAGUAACUGGUGGAAAAAAAUUGUUGAAGAUGCCACGAUCCAGAUGUAUGAUACGCUGCUGACUGUUCGACUAUUGCAAGAUUCUUCCUACCACUGGGAACCACCAGCAAAAACCUAUCAUCAUCAGAUCAAUGAAUUUGAACGCGUCAACUAUUUGGACUACUCUUAUCAUUAUGCACCAAUAACAUUAGAAUCAAACUGAAAUAAGAUAAGUAAAUUCAAAUAAAAAUUCAAAGCUUGAAGAAAUUUUCAAAAGGGGCCGUCCAUAUACCACGUGGACAACUUCAAAAUGUAAGGGGUACGAAAAAUUCCACCCCAGUCCAUGGAAAAAGGAUGGAGUACUUCUAAUAUGAUGAGCCACAAAAUUAGUUUUUCAUAGUGUUAAACAAAUUGUAUUUUAAACUUUUGUUUUUGAACAUGAAGCUUUUCUAAUAAACUUUUUUUAAAGCCCAGGUAGGCAUUUUGAAACGAAAA
rnacentral:lncRNA from 1 species